rnacentral:rRNA from 1 species
AUUGAACUCUGGCGGCAGGCCUAACACAUGCAAGUCGAGCGAGCUGCGGACUGGUGAUCAAUGUUUGGGGAUCCGCCCGUUAGAGGGGGAUAACUACUUGCAACGGUGGCUACUACCGCAUACUCUGGUAUGAACCCAUAUGGGAUUAGCUAGUAGGUGGGGUAAAGGCUCACAUAGGCGACGAUCGCUAGCUGGUCUGAGAGGAUGAUCAGCCACACUGGGACUGAGACACGGCCCAGACUCCUACGGGAGGCAGCAGUGGGGAAUAUUGAACAAUGGGCGCAAGCCUGAUGCAGCCAUGCCGCGUGUAUGAAGAAGGCCUUAGGGUUGUAAAGUACUUUCAGCGGGGAGGCGUUACCCGCAGAAGAAGCACCGGCUAACUCCGUGCCAGCCGCCGCGGUAAUAC